GAUGAAGAACGUAGCGAAAUGCGAUAAGUAAUGUGAAUUGCAGAAUUCAGUGAAUCAUCGAAUCUUUGAACGCACAUUGCGCCCCCUGGUAUUCCGGGGGGCAUGCCUGUCCGAGCGUCAUUACAACCCUCAAGCACGGCUUGUGUGUUGGGCCUCCGUCCUCCUCCCGGGGGACGGGCCCGAAAGGCAGCGGCGGCACCGCGUCCGGUCCUCGAGCGUAUGGGGCUUCGUCACCCGCUCUUGUAGGCCCGGCCGGCGCUUGCCGACACAUCAAUCUUUUUUCCAGGUUGACCUCGGAUCAGGUAGGGAUACCCGCUGAACUUAAGCAUAUCAAUAAGCGGAGGA
rnacentral:misc_RNA from 1 species